AGUAGAUUUGGAGUAAUGUUGGUCAGUUUUGAGCAAGAUUCUGUUUUUAAACACAAUAUUGCGUGUUUAACCUUGAUUUUUAGAUUUUCUUUUUUGUUUUUGGGGUUUAAGGCGUUUUGGAUUACGGGGAAAUGGUGUUAAAGAGAGUAGGACAAUAAAUUUUUAGCCUUGCAUUCUGUUUGCUUGUUAAUUGUAAUGAUUCUUGAUUAAUGCGCAAGAAAUUGUGUUUUGGUUAAGUUCAUGCUUAAUGUGUGCUGUAAAUUGGAAACGGUUAUUUAAAAUUAUUUGGUUUGAAAUGGAAUGCUAAGCUGGUAUUAGCUCUGUUAAUAAAUAUGGUUUUUUCUGCAUUCCAAAGCAUAUAACUUUGGGCAUCUUCACCUGUUUGAGCGGUUGCUUCAAUUUUUGUUGGGCCAACACUGUUUUCAAGUAGAUUUGGUACAAAUUCAGUACUGGGGAUUUGGGGUUGUUAUUAUUGUACUGGGGAUUUGGGGUUGUUAUUAUUGGAUCUUAUAUAAGAUAUCAUUUUUUUUUCUGCUUUCAAUGGACACAAAAAAGCAAUAAUUUGCACUGUUUAUUUUUCUGGCAUUACUUUUUCUAAAAAUUUGUUCCUAUUCAUUUCUUACAAAAUUGAUAUUUUUUACUAGGAAUUCUGAAAGUUUCAAUUUUAGACACCCUAGCACCUCCCUCUCUAUUUUCCAGUUUAAAGGUGUGCUUCUUUCUUUGUUACUGUGUUGUCUUAUGGUUUGCUUUUUGUUUGUUUAUAACAAUUCCAUUGUUUUUAUCAAAUGUUGAAUUAAUGGAAUAUAUGGAAUGAACUCAGUUUAUUGAAGAUUGGAUGUGUAUAAAAAUUGGGGUUUGAUCAAACCUGUCAGACUUAACAAUGAUAAAAUGUUAAUAGUCAGAUAUAACGUUUUAUUAUGCAAUUUGCUUACUGAUGCUCUCCAGUUGAAAUCACUG
rnacentral:misc_RNA from 1 species